AAAAUGAAUGCAAUCAGAAUGUCUCAGAGCUACAACAAUAGUCUGCAGGAAGGAAAUAUAAUACAAAAGGGACUUUGGCUGGAAUAGGAUUUACAUUCACCAAUAGGACUGCACCAAAGAACAGCACCUGAUAAACAAAUAUACCAUUUGGAGGAUCGUUUACUGUCAGAAGAGUGAAACUUGCCAGAGAGAAGUUUCCUUGAUGGCAGGAAAGAAAUUUAAUCCCGGAAGGAGCGCAUUUCUGUCUCUGGUUGAGCAGGCAGAAGGGUGGCAGAGGAGAGUGUCAACUUAGUGCAUUCUACUGCCCCAGAGGAGACAAGAUUGGAGAAAGAGAAAGAACUUUCUACAGGACAAGGAUGGAGGAUUUCUGAAGGUGAUUCAUCAUGGUACAGACUCUGUCCAGGAUCACCUAACAUCUACUGUGCAUUGCUGUUCCUUCAGCUGCGUCUGCAUGUGGAUAGAUGAAGCUGGAAAUUUGUAUUUUGUGGAUCGGGUGGACCAACUAGUAAUAUACUAUGACAAGUGCAAACUCUCACCUAAAGGAUGGCUAAUAAAUUCGGCCAGAAAACCUCUUGCUGUUGAUGGCAUUUCUAAAAUCUGAAAACAGAACUGACUCUGGAAUGUCAGAGAAUUAUUAAAGUUCAUGCAUGCAGAGUGGUGACAUCAUUCACUCAAGAUAACCAGGCACAAGAACACUGUGACACCCAUUGGACAGUAUAUAAGUAGAGAUCAAGGGCAAUGCUCUGCUAUGCUCAUCUGGAGAGACACCACCUUGAUCUGCCUAUGGCUGGAGCAUCUGCCCCAGAAUCCUGACCCUCAAAUCAGAGCCUUCUGUUAGAGAAUGGGCCUAACCUUCAGCUAAGAUAUGUCACACAGGCAUUAGUGUGUCUCUGUGUGGAUAUGUACACAUGCAUGUGAGUGUACCCUUGGAGGCCAGAGAGAACAUUGGAGCUGGAGUUCCAGGUGGUUUGUGAUCCACCUGAUGUGGUUGCUAAGAACCAAACUUGGGGCCUCUAUAAGGACAGCAAGUUCUUCACCACUGAGCUAUCUCUCCAGCCUCAUAGUUUCUUUUCAUAGUUUGGCUUCCGCCUAACUCCAUUGGUUUCUAUGUAUUUAUGAUUUCUUUCCAGUUUGGUCUUCUACCUCUGGUCUCCAGUGUAUAAUACAGAUGACUGAUUCUUGUGUCAAAUACUGUGCUUGGAAGUGGUGAUUAAAAGAUGAACAGAAAUAACUUCUUUAGAGAAUAAAAUCUAAUGGAAGGAAAGGUGAAAGCAGUUUCAAUGAAUGAGGUUCAGGCCAUGCCAUCCCAUAAUAUAGUAUCAUGGCCUUUGGAAAAUCAGCAGGUCUCUCUGACUCCCACUUUGUCUUGUCUUCCUGUCUUGAAUCAUGGGAUAUAACCAAGAAAGAAUUUUUUGACCUUUCCUUAUUUUCAUCAUAAGAUCCUAUGUGAGAGAUAUUCACCUUCCAGUUAGAAGAAAGGAAUGCGGUAUACCUAAAGACAGGAGAACUUAGACACAAAUGUGAGCAUGGAGGUUUAGUUUGUAGGUGGUUCCCUACCCGAGGUCAUCCUGUGUACUACAUAUCCCACUUCACCCUUACUAUCUGCUCCCCUGAGGAAACUUAGCAUGGAAUAUGCAGGUUGUCCUGUUUCAAUGAGUCUUAACUCCCAGAAUUUCCUGUACAUUAUAAAACUCAUUUGAGAUGAAUUUGCAUGUGUUUUUUUUUUCCCCGGAGGAGAAAAUAGGGUGGCUUUAGCCAUGAACUUAACAAUGAGUAGGAAAAAACAAUUCUUUGUUCUCCUACACAAUCUCUUGUGGUGAACACAGCAUUGUGUCUAAGAAGGCACCUGAUUCAACCUCAUACAAAAUUUUUAUUGAGGGAAAAAUACCCUAGCUGAACUUGGAAAGAGAUACUAUUUAUAAUAUGAACAAUACUAAGCUUAGUAAGAAAAUACUACCAUUGUCUUUCUGUUUUAUUUUUCUCAACAAAAAUAUAAAACAAUAACCUCUUUUCCCCUUCAUCAUCUUUCUCUGAUCUAGUAUUUUGUCUUCAUUUUCCUGAGACCUUCAGCACUGAGAAAAUGUUGAAAAUCUUGGGACAGUGACCUACAUUCCUGAGUGGUCCAUGGGAAUUUUUUUCAAGGGCUUCUUGAAGACCAAUGUCUGUACCUGUAUAGUCUAAACAGUGCAACUCAGAGUCUUUCCUACCAUCACUCAGGGUUAUGUGAUUCUAUAUUAUCCCAAAUAUAAGUGAAUUUAAACCUACAAAUUAGCAUUUGUUAAUACUGUUUUCUUCAACAAAUAAAAAUGAUAAUGUG
ensembl:lncRNA